UUACACCGGACUUGGCGAUAAAACUUUCAACUUGGUUGCUGAAAAUUCAGAUUUUCAGAACGUUCUCGAGUGUUUUGUGAAAGUGACGAUGGUUCGUUUUACAGCUCACAAAAAACGAGCAAAGAAUCGAGAAAUCAAUCUGGAGGAGCAGGAGAUUAUUUCAACCCAUCAUAUGAAAUUCACAAGAAACCAGCUUCGAUGAAGAAAUCAGUUGUUGAAAAUCCCGCAGAACUCAACUUCCAACAAAAAAAGGCUGCAAUUAGCCAAUUCUUCAGAAAAACCAAAAACCUGGGUACCGAGGAAAAAAUUCAAUUCUUGCAGGAAGCUUCAGAAUAGAACAAAAAGUUUGAAAAUGGGUUCAAUUUCAAAAGGAAAGCCAGCAGCUUCUCCAAAUUGUUCCAGAGAGUUCAAAUUUUACAGUACAAUAGAAGGAUGUACCAGUACCUGAAAUGCCUUUUGCAGGUUUCAUUUUUGAUUUGGGCCCUCCAUAGGAUUUUUUUCUCAAAGAAAUAGGUUGGCAGUUCUGAGCAUAUAGAAUUGUCAAUCAACAUUUUUUUGGGGGGAAAAUCCCAGGAUAGAUCUUAAUUAAAUGAAACCCCCGUAUUUUGGCGUCUCCUUCGCCUGCCUCUUCUCCUUCACCUAGGAAAAAGCUAUUCAAGCUUCUAUCAUUAUCAUUUAUCAAGUUAUCAAAUUCGCAGACGUCACAGAAAAUCAUUCACACCCGAUUCAAAUUCACAACCACUCAAAACGCUUCAAACUUUCAAACAAAAUAAACAACACGAGUCCAAAAAUUCCUCGAUAUUUUUUUUCUCCUUCAAUAAAACACAAAAAAAAUUUAACAAAUGAAAACUACGUUUACGUGGAAAUAAAUUAAAUUUCAUACAUCUACAUCAAUUUUUUACUACAUAAUAUUGAAACAGGAACUAAAAAUUCAGGCUAAAUUGAAUCGCUGUGUUCGAUUCUCGUCACGUGAACUUCGUCGAUUUUCACGGGAGCGAUGAAAAAUAGAAGAAAAACAAGUAAUAUAAUGACAAGCCGAAGAAAACCACAAAAACAGCCGGUCCGAUCAUAGGUGCAAAGAAGAACGGAAAGUAAAAAGGCAUAGCUACGAAAUACGCGAUCCAUAAUGCAGUAGCAGCCCUCAUACCUGCCGAAACAAACGA